UACGGAGGAUGCAAGCGUUAAUCGGAAUUACUGGGCGUAAAGCGCGCGUAGGCGGCUUUGUAAGUCGGAUGUGAAAGCCCUGGGCUUAACCUGGGAAUUGCAUUCGAGACUGCAGAGCUAGAGUAUGGUAGAGGGAAGUGGAAGUCCGGGUGUAGCGGUGAAAUGCGUAGAUAUCCGGAGGAACACCAGUGGCGAAGGCGAGUUCCUGGGCCAAUACUGACGCCGAGGUGCGAAAGCGUGGGGAGCAACCCG
rnacentral:misc_RNA from 1 species